rnacentral:rRNA from 1 species
GACAGAGGGGGCAAGCGUUGCUCGGAAUUACUGGGCGUAAAGGGCGCGUAGGCGGGAUGGCAAGUCGGUCGUGAAAUCCCUCGGCUCAACUGAGGAUCGUCGAUCGAUACUGCUGUUCUUGAGGAUUGCAGAGGAGACUGGAAUUCCCGGUGUAGCGGUGAAAUGUGUAGAGAUCGGGAGGAACACCGGUGGCGAAGGCGGGUCUCUGGGCAAUUCCUGACGCUGAGGCGCGAAAGCGUGGGGAGCAAACAGG